GGGCGUGUGGCUCAGUUGGUAGAGCGUUCGCUUAGCAUACUUUUCAUCCAUCAUGAUGCAAGGAUCCACUGUAUGCGAAAGGUCCUGGGUUCGAUUCCCAGCUCGUCCA